GAAACCCUACUAAAAAACCUAAAGAAAAAAAAUGGUGAAAAAGCACGGGGUUAAGCUAUCAACUACAAGAUCUUAUUUUAACUUGAUCAGAUUCUUGGUGUGAAGAUUACUCGCCACCAAACGGCUGAAACAUUUAACUCCCUUAUCCAACAAUCCUCCUCUGCAAACCCUAUUUCUUUUUUGCCGCAUCCUUUUCUCUCCAACUUUCUUCUUCGUUUUCCUGUCGUCUGAUGUAUGCAAAAAGAAUCAAUCUUCUUCGUUUUCCUGUCUUUUGAUGCAUGCAAAAAGAAUCAAAGAUGCAACACAUAAAGGGUUCACCGUAGAUUUUUCUUUGUUAUUUUGUUCUGUAUUGAUUGUGUUCAUCUUUGAUUUUUGCAGGUGAGGGUUAAUCUCCCAGCACUAGAUGUGAUUGGGAGUGUAGAGAGUUAAUUUGUGGGGUGACUUUUAUCCCAACAUGUAUGUAGUCGGAUCGGUAGUUCUCCAAAAUUCAUGCAUUUUAAAAUCCAGUAUCUACAUAUCACGAUGUUGGAGAAGAGAGAGGGUCUUCUCAAAUGGCCGAAAAUUAUAGAAUUUAGCAAGUUCACUGCCCACUUUGAUGUUAUAGAUGAACAUGAUGCUCAUCAAAGGACAUCAACUUUGUCGACCUCACUAUAUGAACUUUGAAAUUGUUAAGGAUCAUCAGAUACCUAGACCUAAGCACUGUCUCCAAACAUCAAACCGUUUCCAGCUCUUAUGCAUGUACAUUUUCAUUGAUAAACAACUGCUCGGGUUCAACUCAUUUUAUAAUUUUGUGGUUUGGUAGAAAAUAUGAAAGUCUGUGUGUUACUGGACAUUUGGGAAUGUUUGAAAUUUAUGGAGCUCAUGGU